AUUGAACGCUGGCGGCAGGCCUAACACAUGCAAGUCGAACGGUAACAGGGAUCAGCUUGCUGAUUCGCUGACGAGUGGCGGACGGGUGAGUAAUGUCUGGGAAACUGCCUGAUCGAGGGGGAUAACUACUGGAAACGGUAGCUAAUACCGCAUAACGUCGCCAGACCAAAGAGGGGGACCUUAGGACCUCUCGCCAUCGGAUGUGCCCAGGUGGGAUUAGCUAGUAGGCGGGGUAAUGGCUCACCUAGGCGACGAUCCGUAGCUGGUCUGAGAGGAUGAUCAGCCACACUGGAACUGAGACACGGUCCAGACUCCUACGGGAGGCAGCAGUGGGGAAUAUUGGACAAUGGGCGCAAGCCUGAUGCAGCCAUGCCGCGUGGAUGAAGAAGGCCUUCGGGUUGUAAAGUCCUUUUAGUGGGGAAGAAGGGUGUAAGGUUAAUACCUUGGCAGAUUGACGGUACCCGAAGAAGAAGCACCGGCUAACUCCGUG
rnacentral:rRNA from 1 species